CUCUGGGCUGGGCGGCAGGGUCAGGGGCCGAGCGGAGCCGGUUGUUAUUUAGUAUGGAAGAAGAUGAGUUCUUUGGAGAAGAAACGUUCCAGCAUUAUUGUGCAGAAUUCAUUAAACAUUCACAGAAGAUAGGCGAUGGCUGGGAAUGGAGAACUUCAAAGGACUGUUCUGAUGGCUACAUGUGCAAAACACAGUUUCAAAUUAAAAAUGGGACUGCAGUGUCACAUCGAGGAACAUCUGCCCGUGUACAAACAUGUCUUCCCAUGGAGGAGGCUUUAGAGCCACCCCUGGAUGAUUUUGAGGUGACGGAGACCACCACGGCAACCGAAGUGAUUAAAUAUGAGUAUCAUGUCUUAUAUUCCUGCAGCUACCAAGUGCCUGUGCUUUACUUUAGGGCAAGCUUUUUAGAUGGAAGCCCUUUAGCUCUGAAGGACAUAUGGGAAGGAGUUCAUGAGUGCUAUAAGACUCGGCUGCUGCAUGGACCGUGGGACACUAUUACCCAACAGGAGCAUCCGAUACUUGGACAACCCUUUUUUGUACUUCAUCCCUGCAAGACGAAUGAAUUCAUGACUCCUGUGUUAAAGAAUUCUCAGAAAAUCAAUAGGAAUGUCAACUACAUCACGUCAUGGCUGAGCAUGGUAGGGCCAGCUGUCGGGCUGAAUCUGCCUCUGAGUUACGCCAGAGCAGCCUUUCAGGAUGAAGGAAACGUCGACAGACAAGAUUCUUCUAUUGAGCCAAAGAGCUUAGAAGAACUCUGAGAGUUUACGUGGCCAGCCCUGGUUUUAAUGGGACCAAUAUGGUGUGAGAUUCAGAUCACCGAGAUUUUGACGUGGAUUUUUUUCCCCUUGGAAGCAAAUGUCUGCAGCAACUGAUGUACUCUAUGUUUAGAAGACACACUGCAAAGACACAAAUCACUAUAAAUAGCAAAAAAGGAAUCUAACUUGGUAAUAGAAAUACUGACAUCAUCAGGGCACUUCCAGGUCGUUCCCUCAUGUCUCUGAGACUCAUUCUCUUCACCUUUAAUUUGAGAAUAACAAGCUACCUCACAGGGUUGCUGUGUGAAGCACAUGAGAGCCUUAGUGUAUGAGAAAAUACGGCUGGGUGGCAGGGGCAGCAGACCGAGAGCCCUGACCCGGCUCAUACGAAUGCCCCAGUCCAGUGUAGAAGACAGACAAGAAGAAGAUUGAUGGCACGACGUGUGUUGUAGCGGAGGUGUGGAAAGCAAGCACCAGGGAAGAGUCACAGAAGAGGAAUGCAAUUCUCGGGGCCUCCCUGGUGGUGCAGUGAUUAAGAAUCCACCUGCCAAUGCAGGGGACACAGGUUCGAGCCCUGGUCUGGGAGGAUCCUACAUGCCGCGGAGCAGCUAAGCCCGUGCGCCAGAACUACUGAGCCUGCGCUCUAGGGCCCGCAAGCCACAACUACUGAGCCCGCACACCUAGAGCCCAUGCUCCUCAACAAGAGAUGCCACCGCAAUAAGAGACCCGCGCACUGCAACGAAGAGUAGCCCCCGCUCACCACAACAGCAACAACGUGUGUGUGUGUGUCGCGCACAGCAGCGAAGACCCAACGCAGCCAAAAAUAAAUAAAAUGAAAUAAAUUAAUUAAAAGAAAGAAAAACAGGCAAUUCUCAUAAAAUGUUGAGUUAAAACAGAAAACGAAAACUAGAUAUGCAUGCCACUUAAUACUAUAUAAAAAAUACACUAAUACCACACAUUUUCUGUAGUAUAUAUAAGUAUAUGUAUCUAAAAACAUUAAAGUGGUCAGAAGGACACACAAAACUUGUAAGAGAGGUUACCUCAGAGGUGGAGAGUGGGAACUUG